CUACGGGCGGCAGUGGGGAAUAUUGGACAAUGGGCGAAAGCCUGAUCCAGCCAUGCCGCGUGUGUGAAGAAGGCCUUCGGGUUGUAAAGCACUUUCAGUGGGGAAGAAAGCCUUGGGGCUAAUACCCUCGAGGAAGGACAUCACCCACAGAAGAAGCACCGGCUAACUCCGUGCCAGCAGCCGCGGUAAUACGGAGGGUGCGAGCGUUAAUCGGAAUUACUGGGCGUAAAGCGCGCGUAGGCGGUCUGAUAAGCCGGUUGUGAAAGCCCCGGGCUCAACCUGGGAACGGCAUCCGGAACUGUCAGGCUAGAGUGCAGGAGAGGAAGGUAGAAUUCCCGGUGUAGCGGUGAAAUGCGUAGAGAUCGGGAGGAAUACCAGUGGCGAAGGCGGCCUUCUGGACUGACACUGACGCUGAGGUGCGAAAGCGUGGGUAGCAAACAGGAUUAGAUACCCGAGUAGUC
rnacentral:rRNA from 1 species